rnacentral:rRNA from 1 species
GAGCCCGCACAAGCAGUGGAGUAUGUGGUUUAAUUCGACGCAACGCGAAGAACCUUACCAGGACUUGACAUCCCGAGAAUCCGGCGUAAUGGCUGGAGUGCCCUUCGGGGAAUUCGGUGACAGGUGGUGCAUGGUUGUCGUCAGCUCGUGUCGUGAGAUGUUGGGUUAAGUCCCGCAACGAGCGCAACCCUUACGGUCAGUUACUACAUUAAGUUGAGGACUCUGGCCGGACUGCCGUUGACAAAACGGAGGAAGGUGGGGACGACGUCAAAUCAUCAUGCCCCUUACGUUCUGGGCUACACACGUACUACAAUGGCGAAAACAAAGGGAAGCGAUAUCGCGAGAUGGAGCAAACCCCAUAAAAAUCGUCCCAGUUCAGACUGCAGGCUGCAACUCGCCUGCACGAAGUUGGAAUUGCUAGUAAUCGCGGAUCAGCAUGCCGCGGUGAAUACGUUCCCGGGCUUU